UACGGGGGGGAGCAAGCGUUGUUCGGAAUUACUGGGCGUAAAGGGCUCGUAGGCGGCCAACUAAGUCGGAUGUGAAAUCCCCAGGCUUAACCUGGGAACUGCAUCCGAUACUGGAUGGCUUGAAUCCGGGAGAGGGAUGCAGAAUUCCAGGUGUAGCGGUGAAAUGCGUAGAUAUCUGGAGGAAUACCGGUGGCGAAGGCGGCAUCCUGGACCGGCAUUGACGCUGAGGAGCGAAAGCUAGGGGAGCAAACAGG
rnacentral:rRNA from 1 species